rnacentral:tRNA from 1 species
ACUGCCAUGGCUGAGUGGUUAAGGUGUUGGACUUGAGGACCAAUGGGAUCUUACAAUAUAAUCUUCCUACGCAGGUUCAAAUGCUGCUCACAGGA